CUCCCCGGUCCCUCUCCCUGUAGUUUUAGGCGUGGUCCUGUCUGUGGUCCUGCUGGUCCUGCUGCUGAUUGGAGGACUGCUGCUGUGGAGGAAACGAACAGGAAGAAGCUGUCCUCCUCCUACAGGAGAUGUGACCUACGCUGAUGUUACCAUCACACACACACGCAAGAGAGAGACCCGUGGCGGUGAUGAUGUGACGUACGCCGACAUCAAACACCAGAAGAAGAAACGAUCCAGGACGAAAGAGGCUGCUGUUGACCCCCUGUACUCUGAUGUCAAAGUACAGUCAGGUGCCACCGAGGUCACGUACGGUGACGUCAUCAUCAAACCUCAGAAAACCACUGGCAAGAAGAGUGCCCAGCCCUCUGAUGCAGACGUGGUGUAUUCCUCAGUGAGAACAGGACAGCCUACAGGAACAUGAGGACGGAGGACACACACACACACACACACACACACACACACACAUACACGCACACACACACACACACA